UUUGGCAUUAAGCAGCUAACCUGAGUCGGACAUCCAUGUCAUGACGAAACGUGCGGUGACCUCUGGGGGACGGCGGGAGGUGCCAGGGCGAGAGUGGUGAUGGCCUCGGGCCAGAGCAGCAGCCUUCAUCACAGGAAGCUCUCAUUUCGUUUCCUAAAAAGUAUACAUCGGCUGGCAGCCUUAAAUCUCAAUGCGGACACCCGAAUAAAUACCCC
rnacentral:lncRNA from 1 species